UAAACACCAGAAAUUAUUAGUUCAAAUAGAAAAAUGAUCCAUAUUUUUCACUAGGAUGGAUGCCUGGUCGUGUGGUAUGCGCACUGGAACGUUUGGCUGGUUUCGAUGGUCCCGGGUUCAAACCCUGUAGAAAGAAUAUUAUUUCAUUUUGUUACUAAUUAGAUCUUAAUCUCAAGUUGAAUUUGUGUUUAUUGUCAAUAAAAGUUGAGUUUUUGUUCACAAAAGAAG